UACGUAGGGAGCUAGCGUUGUUCGGAUAUACUGGGCGUAAAGCGCACGUAGGCGGCGCCGUAAGUCAGGGGUGAAAUCCCGGAGCUCAACUCCGGAACUGCCCUUGAAACUGCAGUGCUAGAAUCUUGGAGAGGCGAGUGGAAUUCCGAGUGUAGAGGUGAAAUUCGUAGAUAUUCGGAAGAACACCAGUGGCGAAGGCGACUCGCUGGACAAGUAUUGACGCUGAGGUGCGAAAGCGUGGGGAGCAAACAGG
rnacentral:rRNA from 1 species